CAUAUGACAGUAAAAUUAAGUUAAAACGAAAACACUACAAGGCAAACAAUGGCGCUGUAAAAAUGUCUGUUUACAUGCGAGCACGACUAGAUGUUAUUACAUUGAUUUUUGGAUAUGUUUGCGAGUUUCUAUCAGCAGCUGGCAUGGCCGCUACCGGCAGUAUGUGCCAGCCUAUGCACAGGCAUUCUCCUUCUUGGUACGUUACAGCUGUCGACUAUUGCGUCGUCAUUACUCUCGCACUCAGCUUCUUCUUGCUGUUCGCCAUUGGUUUAACAGUCAUUGCGAGUGUUUGCGCGGGCAAACCAAUGCUGCUGAUCCACACACAGCGAAUGUUGACGAUUUUGUUAUCUAUCAGCGUUUUGGAAAGUUGCACCUUUUAUUACCUGAAUAUUUUUAACAUUUCAGAAAUUUGCGUAUUUUUCUUCAUCGUACCGAUACCAAUGAUAUUAUUCACAUUGGGAACUAAGAUACUCCUUUACAAAUAUUUUAAACUUCAGAUUACAAAGCCGCAAAGCGGUAACGUUUCCGAAUCAUAAAAAUGCCUGAGUAAACUCCAAAGUGAAUUUCUUCUUUUACAAAUGUGUACGAGUGACUGCUGUGCUAUAACGCAUUUCUGCUGUUGCAACUUAAGAGUGGCGUCUUUGACAUCCGGAGUCAUUUGCAUAAUUCUUGCCAUCUUGGGCUUGCCCGCCUUAAGUGUUACCUACAAUUCAAAAAACAAACGCGAAUUUCCAAACAUUUUGACGUUGGCCACAUUUUUCUUCGUCAUGUUUGCUACAGGCUUUUCAACGGUUUUAGGCAUUUGUACUGAUAAAAUGACGUUGGUAGAUCAUGCACAAACUAUGUUUACCGUUUUGUCUGGGUAUUCCGUUGCCUCAACGUUUACCUCGAUCAUUGCGUACAGCAGUCUGCAGUUGCACGUAGUCUGCCCGCAGUUUCUUGUUAUGAUGAUAGUAUUUCUUUUUUUUAGCGUGACAAGUAAAAUUAUCAUAUUCAGCUAUAAAAUUUCCCGUUUGGAAAUCGAUGACAGAGAUUACUAUCCGGACCCAUGAUCUGCAUACUCUGGCAAAAUCUGCCGUCAAUUCUUUUUUCAUGCGAUUUGUAUUACGAGAGCGCAAAAAGAGGAAGAGGAUCUACCCAACUGAUGUCCUAAAUUUGUUUACAAAAUUAAAACAAAUAGAUGAUAGUUUAUUUUAUGAAUUCUUGGCAAUGGAUAACUGCACCAUAUUUACUGGAGCAAGCAGUGAAAUGAUAUGUCGCAAAUAAUAUUUGUGCCAAAUCGUGAGUACUUUGGAGUGUACAACUUGAGGUGGGUAGGAGCUGUAUGAAUUUUGAAAUUUUGGACAAUAUAAUUAUAUUAAUAGGUUCCUUUGCACCUUAAAAAUAGUAUUAAAUCAACCAAGCAUUAUUGAAAACAACUCUUUUAAUUUUGAAUGACCCUUCUACAUUCUAACCUCUAAAACGUGUCUAAAUUUCCGAGGUCAACAGUAUCACACUUUCGAGAUAGUCCCACAGCAUGAACUUUGAAUUUCCGUUAUCAUUUGUACUCAAUUUUAAUCCACAUGACUGAGUGGGCCACUAUAGUACUUUUCCUCAAUAUUUACUGGCUUGUGAGAACUUAGCUGAAGAUAAAAACGGAACACUCAGAGUACCCAGCUCAGGUGAUCCCAUAACCAAUGUGGUAUUAAUAGUUAAAAAGUUAUCUGCAAAGUAUUGAUUAAGUAAAUUUAACUUUUCGUGAGUUUCAUUUCAAGAAGAAUGAAUGGUCGUCAGCGUACAUCAAUAAAUGUAAAUAUUUACACCUGUACAUUGGUAAUCCAGUAGAGUUAGUAAAAAGUUGAGCGAUGUCGGACGAGAAUAGAGUAAAUAAUAAGGGACUAAAACUUUGCCCUAUAACACUCCUUCAGAUGCCGGAAUUCUUUGGCUGGAAUGGGCCUCGCCGCCUACGAACAUAACAUCAUUAUCCUACAAAUCUCUAUUAAUGUAUUUAUUUUCGAUUAAUUCCAACAUUUUAAAGUUUGUACCAUAGUGCAGUCGAUACUAUCAAAUGUCUCUUCAGAUCAAUAAAAACUGCAUAAGGUUUUCUAUAUGUAGUCUCAAAUAACUAUUUACUAUCUCUGAUAUAAAAAUGUUAUCACGACAUCCUCUGCCCUUCCUGAAGCCCAUUUGCACAUCGGGUAACACACAGUGUUCUUCAGCCCACAUAUUCGGUCGUUCAUAGAUGAUAUUGGUAAAAACAUUUGUAAGACUGUGGAAAAUAGCGAUGCCACGAUAAUUAUAUGGAUCUCGAUGGUCUCUUUUUUGUGAAUGAGUUUCAAUUUAUUGUGUGAUCAAGAUUUUGGUGUGGUUUCGGCAGUUAAAAUUUUAUUAAAUAUGUAAUAACUGAAGAACGGUAAAACAAUUGUUUCCAUUGACUUAAGUCUUAAAGCAUUCAUUGGGUAUUAAAAUGUUUAUUAAAUAAAAAUAACGGCGAGGGUAUACUAAACUUACAAGACCGCAGCGUUCUCACUAAUGGUAUAACCUGCUAAGUGUAACCGAGAAAAAGAAACUAGAAAAUACAUAUUUAUAUUUAA
rnacentral:lncRNA from 1 species